rnacentral:rRNA from 1 species
AUUGACCGCUGGCGGCAUGCUUUACACAUGCAAGUCGAACGGUAACAGGUUAAGCUGUCGAGUGGCGAACGGGUGUGUAAUGCAUCGGAACGUGCCCGGUCGUGGGGGAUACCGCAGCGAAAGCUGCGCUUAUACCCCAUACGAUCUGCGGAAGAGAGCGGGGGACCGUAUGGCCUCGCGCGAUCGUAGCGGCCGAUGUCAGAUUAGGUAGUUGGUGGGGUACAGGCUCACCAAGCUAACGAUCUGUAGCUGGUCUGAGAGGACGACCACCCACACUGGGACUGAGACACGGCCCAGACUCCUACGGGAGGCAGCAGUGGGGAAUUUUGGACGAUGGGCGAAAGCCUGAUCCAGCAAUGCCGCGUGCAGGAAGAAGGCCUUCGGGUUGUAAACUGCUUUUGUACGGAGCGAAAAGAUCUCCUCUAAUACAGGGGGCUCAUGACGGAACCGUAAGAAUAAGCACCGGCUAACUACGUGCCAGCCGCCGCAGUAA